rnacentral:tRNA from 1 species
GCGCCCAUAGCUCAGCUGGAUAGAGUAACUGGCUUUUAAUCAGUAGGUCGAGGGUUCGAAUCCCUCAGCGGUCACCA